rnacentral:lncRNA from 1 species
AGGAGAUCAAGCUGCGAGUGUGGAAUCCCAUUCCCCACCACCUGCCAGCCUGGAUGCAUCCCAGAAACCAAAGGAAUUUUGUCAAUUUCUUCAAUAUUCCAUAGUCUCAUGGAACUGUCCUGAAACAAGGUAAACAGUAAGCCAGGAGUCACAAAAACAGACAGACAGGAAAACAAAACAAAAACAAAAAACCCAAACCAAACCACUAUGAAGGCUGUGGGUAGCUCAGCGGUAGAGUAUCAGACUCUCUGUCCCCCGGCAUCACAGAAGCCAGGUAUGAUGGCACAUGCCUGUAACCCCAGCACAUGAGAAGCAGAGGCAGGAGGAUCGGGAGUUCAGGGCCAGCCUGGGCUACAUGAAGACCUGUGGUACAGCUGUGCCAUGGGAUAGCAUUCUGUGUUCAGAACAGAUGAGCUGCCAAACCUCCAAAGCACAUAGAGAUACAAAAC